rnacentral:rRNA from 1 species
CUAGGAUUAGAUACCCUAUUAUUUGAAAUGUAANNNNNNNAAACUAAAGUAUUAAUAGGUAUGGGCUUUAAACUUAAAAAAUUUGGCGGUAUUUUAGUCUAUUCAGAGGAACCUGUUUUAUAAUCGAUAUUCCACGUUGGACCUUACUUUAAUUUAUAAAUUAGUUUAUAUACCGUCGUUAUAAAAAAUUUUAUAAGAAUAAUAAUUUUUAANNNNNNNNNNNNNNAAUUUUAUAUCAGAUCAAGGUGUAGCUUAUGUUAAAGAAAAUAAUGGGUUACAAUAAAAUUAAUUAUAUGGAUAUGAAAAUGAAAAAUUUAUUGAAAGAGGAUUUGAAAGUAAAAUUAAAUAGAUUAUUAAUUUGAUUUUAGCUCUAAAAUAUGUACAUAUUGCCCGUCACUCUUAUUAUUAAAAUAAGAUAAG